AUUGAACGCUGGCGGCAUGCCUUACACAUGCAAGUCGAACGGUAACAGGUCUUCGGAUGCUGACGAGUGGCGAACGGGUGAGUAAUACAUCGGAACGUGCCUAGUAGUGGGGGAUAACUACUCGAAAGAGUGGCUAAUACCGCAUGAGAUCUAAGGAUGAAAGCAGGGGAUCGCAAGACCUUGUGCUACUAGAGCGGCCGAUGGCAGAUUAGGAAGGUGGUGGGAUAAAAGCUUACCAAGCCGACGAUCUGUAGCUGGUCUGAGAGGACGAUCAGCCACACUGGGACUGAGACACGGCCCAGACUCCUACGGGAGGCAGCAGUGGGGAAUUUUGGACAAUGGGCGCAAGCCUGAUCCAGCAAUGCCGCGUGCAGGAUGAAGGCCUUCGGGUUGUAAACUGCUUUUGUACGGAACGAAAAGCCCUGGGUUAAUACCCUGGGGUCAUGACGGUACCGUAAGAAUAAGCACCGGCUAACUACGUGCCAGCCGCCGCAGUAAUAC
rnacentral:rRNA from 1 species